rnacentral:rRNA from 1 species
AGCGAACGCCGGCGGCAGGCCUAACACAUGCAAGUCGAACGAACUCUUCGGAGUUAGUGGCGGACGGGUGAGUAACACGUGGGAACGUGCCUUUAGGUUCGGAAUAACUCAGGGAAACUUGUGCUAAUACCGAAUGUGCCCUUCGGGGGAAAGAUUUAUCGCCUUUAGAGCGGCCCGCGUCUGAUUAGCUAGUUGGUGAGGUAAAGGCUCACCAAGGCGACGAUCAGUAGCUGGUCUGAGAGGAUGAUCAGCCACAUUGGGACUGAGACACGGCCCAAACUCCUACGGGAGGCAGCAGUGGGGAAUCUUGCGCAAUGGGCGAAAGCCUGACGCAGCCAUGCCGCGUGAAUGAUGAAGGUCUUAGGAUUGUAAAAUUCUUUCACCGGGGACGAUGAUGACGGUACCCGGAGAAGAAGCCCCGGCUAACUUCGUG